AAAUCUGUUGAAAUCUGUUCUCUUACAGGACCAAGUCRGUGAAGAGGACGUUGACGACGCUUUCAAAUCCAUGUUUGCUCAGCUUGCAGGAGAGGACAUGGAGAUAUCUGUCCGUGAGCUCAGGACCAUCCUGAACAGGGUGGUGACUAGACAUAAAGACCUGAAGACAGACGGUUUCAGUAUGGAGUCCUGUAGGACCAUGGUCAACCUCAUGGAUGUAUCC